rnacentral:rRNA from 1 species
UGGGGAAUUUUGGACAAUGGGCGAAAGCCUGAUCCAGCAAUGCCGCGUGUGUGAAGAAGGCCUUCGGGUUGUAAAGCACUUUUGUCCGGAAAGAAAUCCUUGGCUCUAAUACAGUCGGGGGAUGACGGUACCGGAAGAAUAAGCACCGGCUAACUACGUGCCAGCAGCCGCGGUAAUACGUAGGGUGCAAGCGUUAAUCGGAAUUACUGGGCGUAAAGCGUGCGCAGGCGGUUUGCUAAGACCGAUGUGAAAUCCCCGGGCUCAACCUGGGAACUGCAUUGGUGACUGGCAGGCUAGAGUAUGGCAGAGGGGGGUAGAAUUCCACGUGUAGCAGUGGAAUGCGUAGAGAUGUGGAGGAAUACCGAUGGCGAAGGCAGCCCCCUGGGCCAAUACUGACGCUCAUGCACGAAAGCGUGGGGAGCAAACAGGAUUAGAUACCCUGGUAGUCCACGCCCUAAACGAUGUCAACUAGUUGUUGGGGAUUCAUUUCCUUAGUAACGUAGCUAACGCGUGAAGUUGACCGCCUGGGGAGUACGGUCGCAAGAUUAAAACUCAAAUGAAUUGACGGGGUCAUAGCUGUUUCCU